rnacentral:rRNA from 1 species
GACGAACGCUGGCGGCGUGCCUAAUACAUGCAAGUGGGACGCAAGAGAACACACUGUGCUUGCACACCGUGUUUUCUUGAGUCGCGAACGGGUGAGUAACGCGUAGGUAACCUGCCUAUUAGCGGGGGAUAACUAUUGGAAACGAUAGCUAAUACCGCAUAAUAUUAAUUAUUGCAUGAUAAUUGAUUGAAAGAUGCAAGCGCAUCACUAGUAGAUGGACCUGCGUUGUAUUAGCUAGUUGGUAAGGUAAGAGCUUACCAAGGCGACGAUACAUAGCCGACCUGAGAGGGUGAUCGGCCACACUGGGACUGAGACACGGCCCAGACUCCUACGGGAGGCAGCAGUAGGGAAUCUUCGGCAAUGGACGAAAGUCUGACCGAGCAACGCCGCGUGAGUGAAGAAAGUUUUCGGAUCGUAAAGCUCUGUUUGUAAGUCAAGAACGUGUGUGAGAGUGGAA